AGGGAGCGUAGGCGGCUGAUUAAGUCAGCGGUGAAAGGUAGCAGCUUAACUGUUUUACAUGCCGUUGAUACUGGUUAGCUUGAGUUGACAGAAGGCAGAUAGAAUUCCUGGUGUAGCGGUGAAAUGCUUAGAUACCAGGAGGAAUACCGAUUGCGAAGGCAGUCUGCUGCAGUCACACUGACGCUGAGGCUCGAAGGUGCGGGGGAUCAAACAGGAUUAGAUACCCCGGU
rnacentral:rRNA from 1 species